UACGAAGGGGGCUAGCGUUGUUCGGAAUUACUGGGCGUAAAGCGCACGUAGGCGGACAUUUAAGUCAGAGGUGAAAUCCCGGAGCUUAACUUCGGAACUGCCUUUGAUACUGGAUGUCUUGAGUGUGAGAGAGGUAUGUGGAACUCCGAGUGUUGAGGUGAAAUUCGUAGAUAUUCGGAAGAACACCAGUGGCGAAGGCGACAUACUGGCUCAUUACUGACGCUGAGGCUCGAAAGCGUGGGGAGCAAACAGG
rnacentral:rRNA from 1 species